UACGAAGGGGGCUAGCGUUGCUCGGAAUGACUGGGCGUAAAGGGCGCGUAGGCGGCUUGCACAGUCAGGCGUGAAAUUCCUGGGCUCAACCUGGGGACUGCGCUUGAGACGUGUGGGCUUGAGUGGGGAAGAGGGUCGUGGAAUUCCCAGUGUAGAGGUGAAAUCGUAGAUAUUGGGAAGAACACCGGUGGCGAAGGCGGCGACCUGGUCCAUUACUGACGCUGAGGCGCGACAGCGUGGGGAGCAAACAGG
rnacentral:rRNA from 1 species